rnacentral:rRNA from 1 species
UACGGAGGUGGGCAAGCGUUGUCCGGAUUUAUUGGGCGUAAAGAGCGUGUAGGCGGCCUUACAGGUCAGCUGUGAAAACUCGAGGCUCAACCUCGAGACGUCGGUUGAAACCGUAAGGCUAGAGUCCGGAAGAGGAGAGUGGAAUUCCCGGUGUAGCGGUGAAAUGCGUAGAUAUCUGGAGGAACACCGGUGGCGAAGGCGGCAUCCUGGACCGGUAUUGACGCUGAGGAGCGAAAGCCAGGGGAGCAAACGGG